rnacentral:rRNA from 1 species
GACGAACGCUGGCGGCGUGCUUAACACAUGCAAGUCGAACGGAAAGGCCCUGCUUUUGUGGGGUGCUCGAGUGGCGAACGGGUGAGUAACACGUGAGUAACCUGCCCUUGACUUUGGGAUAACUUCAGGAAACUGGGGCUAAUACCGGAUAGGAGCUCCUGCUGCAUGGUGGGGGUUGGAAGUUUCGGCGGUUGGGGAUGGACUCGCGGCUUAUCAGCUUGUUGGUGGGGUAGUGGCUUACCAAGGCUUUGACGGGUAGCCGGCCUGAGAGGGUGACCGGCCACAUUGGGACUGAGAUACGGCCCAGACUCCUACGGGAGGCAGCAGUGGGGAAUAUUGCACAAUGGGCGGAAGCCUGAUGCAGCAACGCCGCGUGCGGGAUGACGGCCUUCGGGUUGUAAACCGCUUUCGCCUGUGAUGAAGCGUGAGUGACGGUAAUGGGUAAAGAAGCACCGGCUAACUACGUG